AGAGUUUGAUCCUGGCUCAGAGCGAACGCUGGCGGCAGGCCUAACACAUGCAAGUCGAGCGCCCAGCAAUGGGAGCGGCAGACGGGAGAGUAACACGUGGGAACGUACCCUUCAGUUCGGAACAACCCAGGGAAACUUGGGCUAAUACCGAAUACGUCCGUAAGGAGAAAGAUUUAUCGCUGAAGGAUCGGCCCGCGUCUGAUUAGCUAGUUGGUGAGGUAACGGCUCACCAAGGCGACGAUCAGUAGCUGGUCUGAGAGGAUGAUCAGCCUCACUGGGACUGAGACACGGCCCAGACUCCUACGGGAGGCAGCAGUGGGGAAUAUUGGACAAUGGGCGCAAGCCUGAUCCAGCCAUGCCGCGUGGAUGAUGAAGGCCCUAGGGUUGUAAAGUCCUCUCGACGGGGAAGAUAAUGACGGUACCCGUAGAAGAAGCCCCGGCUAACUUCGUGCCAGCAGCCGCGGUA
rnacentral:rRNA from 1 species